GAUGAACGCUGGCGGCGUGCCUAAUACAUGCAAGUCGAGCGAACAGACGAGGAGCUUGCUCCUCUGACGUUAGCGGCGGACGGGUGAGUAACACGUGGAUAACCUACCUAUAAGACUGGGAUAACUUCGGGAAACCGGAGCUAAUACCGGAUAAUAUAUUGAACCGCAUGGUUCAAUAGUGAAAGACGGUUUUGCUGUCACUUAUAGAUGGAUCCGCGCCGCAUUAGCUAGUUGGUAAGGUAACGGCUUACCAAGGCAACGAUGCGUAGCCGACCUGAGAGGGUGAUCGGCCACCCUGGAACUGAGACACGGUCCAGACUCCUACGGGAGGCAGCAGUAGGGAAUCUUCCGCAAUGGGCGAAAGCCUGACGGAGCAACGCCGCGUGAGUGAUGAAGGUCUUCGGAUCGUAAAACUCUGUUAUUAGGGAAGAACAAAUGUGUAAGUAACUAUGCACGUCUUGACGGUACCUAAGCAGAAAGCCACGGCUAACUACGU
rnacentral:rRNA from 1 species